rnacentral:rRNA from 1 species
AUGGCAGCCGCACACCCUCGCCGCCUGCUGGAAAAGAUUCCUUGCCACCUCGCGCCUCUCACCAUCGAGGACGGCGGGAACGGAGGCGCCGUGCUUGAUUCAGCGUGUGUGUGCGUGAGCACCACCGAUUCGUUGACUUGCAGAAGGCCUGCAGCGCGUGGCGGCACACAUGGCAGGCAGCGCGUGACGCCAACCGCAAACAACGCUCAGUGGAGGAGCUCCGGCAGGAGGGCAGCGAAAUCCAUACCGGAUCCAAUGUGGGACUCAGUUGGGGUACGAGAUGACGCGCGGAGCUGGGAGAAGACGGGCGCCAACGACGGGUUCGGCGACAGUCAGGGAAGUCAUUCAUUUGUCAUGCCAUGGAAGUAUGGUUUGAAGUUUCUUGUUGUCAAGACUUUUUUUCAACAUCUAUGA